ACAAUUGGGUUGGAAAAGACCUCUGAGAUCAUCGAGUCCAACCUUAUGACGGAAGCACCUUGUCAAACAGAAAAUCCGUCUUUCCUUAAAACACUUCCAGGGGCAGUGACUCCAUCACCUUCUUAGGCAGUCCAUUUUAAUGUGUAAUCACUCUUUCUGUGAAGGAAUCAUUCCUAAUGUCUGACUUGAACCUCCCCUGGCACAGCUGAAGACUAUGACUUAAGGCUGAUGGAAGGCCCCAUUGAAACCUUAGGCCCUGCUGGCAGGGAUAGACACCAAAUAGCACUGUCUCCGUGUGUGCCAGUGUGAUACCACAACAAAGACAGAGCCUGCUAAUUUUGAAGACAAUGAAACAUUCAGCAUAUAUUCCACAUAUCAGGUUCAACAUUCCCCAGUGCUACCUUAUGAAAAAGCAGAAAAUUACAUAGAUGGCCCUGAGACUUGUAAAAUUGCAAACAGGA